GAUGAACGCUGGCGGCGUGCCUAAUACAUGCAAGUCGAGCGAAUGGAUUAAGGGCUUGCUCUUAUGAAGUUAGCGGCGGACGGGUGAGUAACACGUGGGUAACCUGCCCAUAAGACUGGGAUAACUCCGGGAAACCGGGGCUAAUACCGGAUAACAUUUUGAACCGCAUGGUUCGAAAUUGAAAGGCGGCUUCGGCUGUCACUUAUGGAUGGACCCGCGUCGCAUUAGCUAGUUGGUGAGGUAACGGCUCACCAAGGCAACGAUGCGUAGCCGGCCGGAGAGGGUGAUCGGCCACACUGGGACUGAGACACGGCCCAGACUCCUACGGGAGGCAGCAGUAGGGAAUCUUCCGCAAUGGACGAAAGUCUGACGGAGCAACGCCGCGUGAGUGAUGAAGGCUUUCGGGUCGUAAAACUCUGUUGUUAGGGAAGAACAAGUGCUAGUUGAAUAAGCUGGCACCUUGACGGUACCUAACCAGAAAGCCACGGCUAACUACGUGCCAGCCGCCGCGGUAA
rnacentral:rRNA from 1 species